AUUGAACGCUGGCGGCAGGCCUAACACAUGCAAGUCGGGCGCGCGGCGGACGGGUGAGUAAUGUAUGGGGAUCUGCCUGAUGGAGGGGGAUCACUACUGGAAACGGUAGCUAAUACCGCAUACCAUCAGAUGAACCCAUAUGGGAUUAGCUGUUGGGUAAGGUAAGGGCUUACCUAGGCGACGAUCCCUAGCUGGUCUGAGAGGAGGACCAGCCACACUGGGACUGAGACACGGCCCAGACUCCUACGGGAGGCAGCAGUGGGGAAUAUUGCACAAUGGGCGCAAGCCUGAUGCAGCCAUGCCGCGUGUAUGAAGAAGGCCUUCGGGUUGUAAAGUACUUUCAGUCGGGAGGCGUUACCGACAGAAGAAGCACCGGCUAACUCCGUGCCAGCAGCCGCGGUAAUAC
rnacentral:rRNA from 1 species